UCUAAUAUGGCAGAAUAGUGCCAUGAACUUAAGAUUCAUUUAUGAGGGACCCCCCUCUAUUAGAA
rnacentral:tRNA from 1 species